CGAGUUGUCUUGGGGGUGAGAUGUCUUGGGGCGAGUUGUCCAGUAUUCAAUGAACUUCGAUACUUCAUCGUAAAACGUCACUUUACUAUCUUAAAGGAUAUCAUUAAUAUAUAACCUUUUAAGAUAUCCCUCAAACUGUUAUGAUUUUUAUUGAAAUUUGUUUUUGUCCAUUUUAAAAGUUUUAAAAUUCAUAACAAAGGUUAAGGACAUUUGUCAAGUAAUAACCUAGAUACAUAACUCACAUUUUUUGUUAUGUAUAUCUCGUGCCAUGUUUUGUUUACAUUUCUGUUUUACGUCAAUUUUUACUUUUUGCUGAAUGACUAUGUAUAUAAACUACAAACGAUUUGUAGUUGUGUUAGUUUUGUAUAUAUAUUGCUUAUGUACCAGAUUAUUUGGUUUUAGUGAAUAAACUUAACUUGAA
rnacentral:sRNA from 1 species